rnacentral:rRNA from 1 species
CCUACGGGAGGCAGCAGUGGGGAAUUUUGCGCAAUGGACGAAAGUCUGACGCAGCAACGCCGCGAGGGUGAUGAAGGUCUUCGGACUGUAAAACCCUGUCGUCAGGGACGAAGGUUUGGGGGUUAAUAGCCCUUAAGCUUGACGGUACCUGGAGAGGAAGCCCCGGCUAACUCUGUGCCAGCAGCCGCGGUAAUACAGAGGGGGCAAGCGUUAUUCGGAAUUAUUGGGCGUAAAGGGCGCGUAGGCGGUUUGUUAAGUCAGAUGUGUAAUCCCCGAGCUCAACUUGGGAACUGCAUCUGAGACUGGCAGGCUAGAGUACUGGAGAGGGUGGUGGAAUUCCUCGUGUAGCGGUGAAAUGCGUAGAGAUGAGGAGGAACACCAGUGGCGAAGGCGGCCACCUGGACAGUAACUGACGCUGAGGCGCGAAAGUGUGGGUAGCAAACAGGAUUAGAUACCCUGGUAGUCCACGCUGUAAACGAUGAACACUUGGUGUGGAGGGAGUUGACCCCUUCCGUGCCGGAGCUAACGCGUUAAGUGUUCCGCCUGGGGAGUACGGUCGCAAGGCUGAAACUCAAAGGAAUUGACGG